rnacentral:lncRNA from 1 species
UUUCAAGUAACACAAAUUCGACGAAAACGCUUAUAUCGAUCGUUCUAAUUGUAUAAAAGCUUAGUUUUUGAAACGAUGAUGACACGAACAAUGAGAAAUAAAGAUGAUCUUGUUAAAACAAAAAUAUAAUGAAAGGAAAUUUAUUGAAAUAAGGAAUAUAAACAUGUGUCUUGUCAAUUGACUUAACAAGUGAUUGUUCGUAGCUUUCGCUACGUGAUUGGAUAGUGUUAGCUUAGAUCUUAGUUUAGCAUCGAUGAACGAAUGAACGAAUGAACGAACGAACGGACACCUGCACGCCUUCGAUCGUACGUAACAUCAGGCCUACUCUGUGCAUAUCCUCUUACUGCCCCCUUGCUAGCUUGCUUGCUUUCUCGGGAGGCCGUCGAUCCUCUUGCAGAGGGUCCGUCAGGAAGAGUACUUGUGUAAGAAGCAAAAAAAAAGAAAAAAGAUAGAAAGUACAAUCAAGAAAAGGAAGAUAGAAGAUAAAAAAUCGGAGAAGGAGUCAAGGAAAGAGAACCGGCACCGAAAUGGAGUAUACCAGUAUAGUCGAGAAUAAAAGGGGGAGAGGGGGGACAGAAAGUAGAGAGAGAAAGAGAGAUAGCGAAUUAUAACCAAUGGUAUAAAUGCAAGCAGGAUAAAGAUAGAACUAAGCCCGACAAAGAAGAACAAGAACAAGAAGAAGACGAACGAACGAACGAAGGAACGAACUGCAGCAGGGCUCAUUUUAGCGAAUGAAAAAGAGAAGGAAGGAAGGAAGGAAGGAAGGAACAAAGAACAAUUUUUUCGACGAAUGCAUCACAACCAUCAUCGCCGGAAUGCGUGCCCUCCUCUACCCCCACCACCCUGCAACACACUGACGUAGUUAUACCUAUACAACACACACAUAUAUUCAACUUUUAUGGUUACUUCGAUGUUCCUCCAUAUUUCUGGGUUAAAACCACAGCCAUUGUGCAUGGCCGUGAGACAGCAAGGAAAGAAAGGUGAUUGGUAAAAAAAUAUUCCAAGAAGGAAGAAAGGAAGGAAGGAAGGAACACGUGAAAAUAAAUUACAAUUCGAGUAUGGUGUCUCAAAUGAUUCCCUGUUGAAUAUUAGUCCUAGACAACGAUGAUGAAGAAAAUGGGGUCAAGAUACUAGUGUAUCUAGUUGCGUUAAUGACGAUUCGUAUCGUAUGUUACCCACUAACAUAAAAACUAAAAUGUCUGGUGCAUUUCGGUGCAUUUGAACGUCUCUCUGCCAUGAAACUCACUCACUCACUCACGCAUUCACGCACGCACGUACUUUCGAGGACUCGGAUAUUUUAAAAACGAAUGACGACGAUGACGACGACGACGAUGAUGACGAUGAAGAAGAAGAAGAAGAAGAAGACACGAGGUGUGGUAGUGGUGUAGUAUUUUCGCGGCCCGUUUGAACAGCUGCGCAAAUAAGCAAGCAAGCAAGCAAGCAAACGAAUAUGUUCACGUUAGUUUUUAGGCACUGAUUCUUGUCUCCUAACAUUUAUGAAUAUUUUUUGUAUAAUAAAAUGUGGCAUUUUAAAUGCAACGAUAAGAAAAUGAUA